rnacentral:rRNA from 1 species
CCGUCUACUCUUGGACAGCCUUCUGAAAGGAAGAUUAAUACAAGAUGGCAUCAUGAGUCCGCAUGUUCACAUGAUUAAAGGUAUUCCGGUAGACGAUGGGGAUGCGUUCCAUUAGAUAGUAGGCGGGGUAACGGCCCACCUAGUCUUCGAUGGAUAGGGGUUCUGAGAGGAAGGUCCCCCACAUUGGAACUGAGACACGGUCCAAACUCCUACGGGAGGCAGCAGUGGGGAAUAUUGGUCAAUGGGCGAGAGCCUGAACCAGCCAAGUAGCGUGAAGGAUGACUGCCCUAUGGGUUGUAAACUUCUUUAUAAAGGAAUAAAGUCGGGUAUGCAUACCCGUUUGCAUGUACUUUAUGAAUAAGGAUCGGCUAACUCCGUG